GACAGGAUGGCCGAGUGGUCUAAGGCGUGGUGUUCAAGAAAAUUGAAUUUCUUUCCCGUGACAAAUGGGUUCCACCAUAUCGAGAGAUGCGAGGGUUCGAAUCCCUCUUCUGUCA
rnacentral:tRNA from 1 species